rnacentral:rRNA from 1 species
GACGAACGCUGGCGGCGUGCCUAAUACUUGCAAGUAGAACGCACAGUUUAUACCGUAGCUUGCUACACCAUAGACUGUGAGUUGCGAACGGGUGAGUAACGCGUAGGUAACCUGCCUGGUAUCGGGGGAUAACUAUUGGAAACGAUAGCUAAUACCGCAUAAUAUUAAUUAUUGCAUGAUAAUUAAUUGAAAGUUGCAAUUGCACCACUACCAGAUGGACCUGCGUUGUAUUAGCUAGUAGGUAAGGUAACGGCUCACCUAGGCGACGAUACAUAGCCGACCGGAGAGGGUGAUCGGCCAAACUGGGACUGAGACACGGCCCAGACUCCUACGGGAGGCAGCAGUAGGGAAUCUUCGGCAAUGGACGAAAGUCUGACCGAGCAACGCCGCGUGAGUGAAGAAGGUUUUCGGAUCGUAAAGCUCUGUUGUAAGAGAAGAACGGGUGUGAGAGUGGAAAGUUCACACUGUGACGGUAUCUUACCAGAAAGGGACGGCUAACUACGUG